CACUAGAACAAAUAUAGGCUUUAAUGUCGGUUGGGAAAAAUGGAAAAUGAACAUUAAUGUCGGUUUUGAAAACGCGGAUGUUUAAUGUCGGUUUUCCACCGACAUUAAAGACUAAGCUUUAAUGUCGGUUUUAAACCGACAUUAAAGGUCCGCCAUUUUGAAAACCGACAUUAAAGGUCCAUUUAAUUUUUUUUAAUAAUUUUAUUUUGUGAAAAAAUAAUAGUCUCUCUCUUACUUUACUCUUUCGACCCUCUCCUACUCGCGCAAUCCCUUUUCUUCUCCAAAUGAAUUCGUCCAUUUCUUCUUCGGCGACUUUUUCUUCUCCGAUGCCCGUUCCUUCUCCGACUUUUUCUCAUUGUUUUUCUCAUCUUCUUUUCUUUUUCUGAAUCCUUCCCAUAUUCAUCCAAAGGCAUGCUCAUCCACUUUCUGUAGAGGGUUUAGGGUCGAAUCACCAUCGCUCUCUAUUUUCUCUUCUUCUUCGAUAGUUCCGUCACUCUCUUCUUAUGGAUUGUUGGUCCCUUUCUCUCCCUCUCGACGACGAGUUCAAGAAGCUCGUCAAUCGUAUGAACCCUCACAGGGUUACCAUUGAUAAUGAUUCCAUCAGAAAAGCUACUCCGAUUAAGUAAUCAGCCCUUUCGUUGCAUCAGCAAGCAGCCGAAAACCGCUGCAAAGCUCAGACACAAACACCUCGACGUCGAGCUUCUGUGCCAUCACCGGCAACAAGUCUUCAUACCCUUCAUCCACUCUACUUGAGGCCGAAUGGGGACCCCUUCGUCAUGUGCGUGUGAUCAAAGAGCGCAAUUCUGGCAUUUCACGGGGUUUUGCAUUUAUUGAUUUUCCUUCAGUGGGAGCAGCACAGACAAUGAUGGACAAGAUUGGUGAUGAUGGUUUAGUUGUAGAUGGCAGGAAGCUUUUCUUUGAGUACAGUAGUAAGCCAACGGGGGGUGCAGGAGGAUCUUUUGCUGCAGAAAAUACUACAAGAUCAGGCCAUUUUAGCAAGAACAUGACAAUGCCAUCGGAUUGGAUGUGCACAAUCUGUGGCUGUGUAAAUUUUGCACGACGAACGUCUUGUUUUCAGGCUAUCGCUGUAGUGAAGCAAGCAUUGGACGUUGACCCUACAAACUUAGAGAUGCUUCAUGCACUUGGUGUGAGUCAUGCAAAUGGGAGAUAUCACUAAACAAAUGACUGCAAUAGAAGAAAUGGUUGCAAGUGAGUACAAUUAGCCAGACCCUUAUCUUUGUGACAAGAUCUUGAAGAUGGUCAUUUGUGAAGCGUUCUAGUUUGCUAUUAGUUGCAAUUUUAGUUAUUGCUCUCUCAAUAUAUUCUUUUUCUUUCUUUCUUUCUUUUUUUCCAAAGGACGAUCAAUGUAUAAUAAUUAAGCUUCAUAACUUCUUUGUAUUUGGAGCCAAGUUGUAUAUAAAUGUACACAUUAUUAAGAUUUCAUUUUGUAUAUGUACAAGUAAAAGAUUUCAUUUUUAA